AUUGAACGCUGGCGGCAGGCCUAACACAUGCAAGUCGAACGAGUGGCGGACGGGUGAGUAAUGUCUGGGAAACUGCCCGAUGGAGGGGGAUAACUACUGGAAACGGUAGCUAAUACCGCAUACCAUCGGAUGUGCCCAGAUGGGAUUAGCUAGUAGGUGGGGUAACGGCUCACCUAGGCAACGAUCCCUAGCUGGGUUGAGAGGAUGACAAGACACAAUGGAACUGAGACACGGUCCAUACUCAUACGGGAGGCAGCAGUGGGGAAGAUUGCACAAUGGGCGCAAUCCUGAUGCAGCCAUGCCGCGUGUAUGAAGAAGGCCUUCGGGUUGUAAAGUACUUUCAGCGAGGAGGCGUUACUCGCAGAAGAAGCACCGGCUAACUCCGUGCCAGCAGCCGCGGUAAUAC
rnacentral:rRNA from 1 species